rnacentral:rRNA from 1 species
UACGUAGGGUGCGAGCGUUGUCCGGAAUUAUUGGGCGUAAAGAGCUCGUAGGCGGCUUGUCGCGUCGGAUGUGAAAGCCCGGGGCUUAACUCCGAGUCUGCAUUCGAUACGGGCAGGCUAGAGUUCGGUAGGGGAGAUCGGAAUUCCUGGUGUAGCGGUGAAAUGCGCAGAUAUCAGGAGGAACACCGGUGGCGAAGGCGGAUCUCUGGGCCGAUACUGACGCUGAGGAGCGAAAGCGUGGGGAGCGAACAGG